UACGUAGGUGGCAAGCGUUGUCCGGAAUUAUUGGGCGUAAAGGGCUCGUAGGCGGUCUGUCACGUCGGGAGUGAAAACUCGGGGCUUAACCCCGAGCCUGCUUCCGAUACGGGCAGACUAGAGGUAUGCAGGGGAGAACGGAAUUCCUGGUGUAGCGGUGAAAUGCGCAGAUAUCAGGAGGAACACCGGUGGCGAAGGCGGGACUCUGGGCCGAUACUGACGCUGAGGAGCGAAAGCGUGGGGAGCAAACAGG
rnacentral:rRNA from 1 species